AUUUUACCAAGAGCGUUCACUGUUUCAGACAGUCACAUCCCCGAACUCAAGGCUGCCCAUGGUAUUUGAGUGGCCGAUACAACAGCACGACGUCAGCCUGCAUUUUGAAAUGCCACAUUGGUGGCUCUCCAGAAAGAACACAGCUCUGCUGACAACUUGAGUUUAAUCCAGUGCAAACUUCUGAUUCCAGAACUACAAGAAUAUAACUCCAUGCAGACAAGGAGUUGUCCACUUCUUCACUGAGGUGUCCCCACCACCAAGCACAAUGCCUGGUACAGGCAACUCUUGCUUCAAAUGAAACCUUACCAGGAAGGCAAAUGAACCCAACAGAUCAACACCAGUGUGUUCGGUCAAGAUGAAGAUCCUGAAGCAUAGAGAUGUCGACAGACCAUUUGCUCAAGUAGCCCUACCCCUGAAGAUGUAUUUAAAGAAUCGGACAAAUAAUUAUUUGUGUAUGGGGGACACAGCUUAGUACUAAAAUGCUAGUCAAAAAUUGCAUGUAAAUUGGAAGGAGAGUGAUUUAAAUUAAGGAGUUCAGGGGUCCUCAUAUUUGUCAGGAGGAGGAAAUAAAUUAACUUUAGGAUUUAUUAAGUGCGCAUGUUAAAAUAAGUAGCAUAAUGGCUAAAAGAAUAGACAUGUAAUAUAUAACUGAAACAAAUGGGAGGGAGGUGGGAAAAUAAAAUGAAGAAAAGAGAUAAAAGCUCUAAAAAUCUCAAUUACUCUUGGUGGAUGUGUUAUUGUUCAGAAAAUAUUCACUCUGUCUUCCCACCUUCCCAUGAGAGGAGUUUAGUUCCCCACUUCAUUGUUGUUGAGCUUGACUGCGUGUUUUAGCCAAUGGGAUGUGAGUAGCUGUUAACACAAGGCUUUAAAUGUCCUCGAAUAACGUGGCUUUGUCUCAUGUGCUUCUGCCUCUGCCACCUGCCCCAGAAACCCUCGCUGCUUCAGCCUGGUCCCAAGGAGAAGUCUUAGACUAUACCCACAAUAUGGAAUAACAAAAAGAUCGGGCAGAGCUAUAGCCUCAGAUCUGAGAAUGAGAAAUACAUUUUAUUGUUGUUAAUCCUCAUCCAAGGAUAUUUUUCCAUUGAUUUUUUGAGAGAGUGGAGGGAGGGAGGAAGAGAGAGAGAAGGGAGAGAGAGAGAGAGAGAAAGAGAGAGAGAAACAUCAACUUGAGUGACACACACAUCAAUUGGUUGCCUCCCACAUGAGCCCUGACCUCGGCAGGGAUCAAACCUGCAACCCUGGUACAUGCCUUUGACUGGAACUCGAACUCGAGACCCUUUGAUCCAGGGGCCAAUGUUCUAACCACUGAGCAACCAGCCAUGGAAGAAAAACUUUUUUUUUAUAACCCUCUGAGACUUUGGCAUUGUCUGUUAUUCAGGAUUAUUGCAGUAAUAUUUAAUCAAUGUACAGAUCAAAAGAAGACAAGAAAAGUAGGGGAGAAAAAAAGCAGAAAAGGAGGUCAAAUAAGAAAACAUUAUAAGAUGUUAAUAAAUCCAAAUUGAUCACUAAAAUAUAAAUGGACUAAACUCUCUAAAAGAUAAAGAUAAAAGUAAAGUCACUGAAGAAACCACAGGCAGCAAAAUCUCAGACGUAUCUUGUAGCGAUAUGUUUACAGAUACAGCUU